rnacentral:pre_miRNA from 1 species
UCUUAUAGACGACCAAAGAAAGUGGCUUCUUGAGAAGGAAACUACUCCUGAUGAAGAUGUGGUGAA